GAUGAACGCUGGCGGCGUGCCUAAUACAUGCAAGUCGAGCGAACAGGCGAGGAGCUUGCUCCUCUGACGUUAGCGGCGGACGGGUGAGUAACACGUGGAUAACCUACCUAUAAGACUGGGAUAACUUCGGGAAACCGGAGCUAAUACCGGAUAAUAUAUUGAACCGCAUGGUUCAAUAGUGAAAGACGGUUUUGCUGUCACCUAUAGAUGGAUCCGCGCCGCAUUAGCUAGUUGGUAAGGUAACGGCUUACCAAGGCAACGAUGCGUAGCCGACCUGAGAGGGUGAUCGGCCACACUGGAACUGAGACACGGUCCAGACUCCUACGGGAGGCAGCAGUAGGGAAUCUUCCGCAAUGGGCGAAAGCCUGACGGAGCAACGCCGCGUGAGUGAUGAAGGUCUUCGGAUCGUAAAACUCUGUUAUUAGGGAAGAACAAAUGUGUAAGUAACUAUGCACGUCUUGACGGUACCUAAUCAGAAAGCCACGGCUAACUACGUG
rnacentral:rRNA from 1 species